GAUGAACGCUGGCGGCGUGCCUAAUACAUGCAAGUCGAGCGAACAGACGAGGAGCUUGCUCCUCUGACGUUAGCGGCGGACGGGUGAGUAACACGUGGCUAACCUACCUAUAAGACUGGGAUAACUUCGGGAAACCGGAGCUAAUACCGGAUAAUAUAUUGAACCGCAUGGUUCAAUAGUGAAAGACGGUUUUGCUGUCACUUAUAGAUGGAUCCGCGCCGCAUUAGCUAGUUGGUAAGGUAACGGCUUACCAAGGCAACGAUGCGUAGCCGACCUGGGAGGGUGAGCGGCGACAGUGAAAUUGAGACAGGGCCCAGACCCAGACGGGAGGGAGAAGUAGGAAUGGGGCCGAAAGGGGCGAAAGCUGGAGGGAGCAACGGCGAGGGAGUGAGGAGGGUCUCGGGAUUGGAAAACUCUGUUACUAGGGAAGAAAAAAUGGGUAAGUAACUGGGAGGGUCGUGACGGUACUUAAACAAAAAGCCCCGGCUAACUACGUG
rnacentral:rRNA from 1 species